rnacentral:misc_RNA from 1 species
GAUGAAGAACGCAGCGAAAUGCGAUAAGUAAUGUGAAUUGCAGAAUUCAGUGAAUCAUCGAAUCUUUGAACGCACAUUGCGCCCGCCAGUAUUCUGGCGGGCAUGCCUGUUCGAGCGUCAUUACAACCCUCAGGCCCCCGGGCCUGGCGUUGGGGAUCGGCGGAGCCCCCCGUGGGCACACGCCGUCCCCCAAAUACAGUGGCGGUCCCGCCGCAGCUUCCAUCGCGUAGUAGCUAACACCUCGCGCCUGGAGAGCGGCGCGGCCACGCCGUAAAACACCCAACUCUUCUGAAGUUGACCUCGAAUCAGGUAGGAAUACCCGCUGAACUUAAGCAUAUCAAUAAGCGGAGGA